rnacentral:rRNA from 1 species
AACGAACGCUGGCGGCAGGCCUAAUACAUGCAAGUCGAACGCACCGCAAGGUGAGUGGCAGACGGGUGAGUAACGCGUGGGAACCUUCCUAGUAGUACGGAAUAACUCCGGGAAACCGGUGCUAAUACCGUAUAAGCCCUCCGGGGGAAAGAUUUAUCGCUACUAGAUGGGCCCGCGUCGGAUUAGCUUGUUGGUGAGGUAAUGGCUCACCAAGGCCUCGAUCCGUAGCUGGUCUGAGGGGAUGANCAGCCACACUGGGACUGAGACACGGCCCAGACUCCUACGGGAGGCAGCAGUAGGGAAUAUUGGACAAUGGGCGAAAGCCUGAUCCAGCCAUGCCGCGUGAGUGAAGAAGGCCUUAGGGUUGUAAAGCUUCUUUUGGCGGGGAAGAUAAUGACGGUACCCGCAGAAUAAGCUCCGGCUAACUUCGU